GUGGGGAAUCUUGCGCAAUGGGCGAAAGCCUGACGCAGCCAUGCCGCGUGAAUGAUGAAGGUCUUAGGAUUGUAAAAUUCUUUCACCGGGGACGAUAAUGACGGUACCCGGAGAAGAAGCUCCGGCUAACUUCGUGCCAGCAGCCGCGGUAAUACGAAGGGGGCUAGCGUUGCUCGGAAUUACUGGGCGUAAAGGGCGCGUAGGCGGACAGCUUAGUCAGAGGUGAAAGCCCAGAGCUCAACCUUGGAAUUGCCUUUGAUACUGGCUGUCUUGAGUUUGGGAGAGGUGAGUGGAACUCCGAGUGUAGAGGUGAAAUUCGUAGAUAUUCGGAAGAACACCAGUGGCGAAGGCGACUCACUGGCCCAAUACUGACGCUGAGGCGCGAAAGCGUGGGGAGCAAACAGGAUUAGAAACCCUUGUAGUCC
rnacentral:rRNA from 1 species